GACGUACGCUGGCGGCGUGCUUAACACAUGCAAGUCGAGCGGGGAUACGAGGGAGCUUGCUCCUGAGUAUUCUAGCGGCGGACGGGUGAGUAACGCGUGAGCAACCUUUCUCUCAGUGGGGAAUAACACAGGGAAACUUGUACUAAUACCGCAUGAGACCACAGAACCGCAUGGUUUAGGGGUCAAAGAUUUAUUGCCGAGAGGUGGGCUCGCGUCUGAUUAGGUAGUUGGUGAGGUAACGGCCCACCAAGCCGACGAUCAGUAGCCGACCUGAGAGGGUGAUCGGCCACAUUGGGACUGAGACACGGCCCAAACUCCUACGGGAGGCAGCAGUGGGGAAUAUUGGGCAAUGGGGGAAACCCUGACCCAGCAACGCCGCGUGGAGGAAGAAGGUUUUCGGAUCGUAAAAUCCUGUCCUCAGGGAAGAGCAGAAGACGGUACCUGAGGAGGAAGCCCCGGCUAACUACGUGCCAGCAGCCGCCGUAAGAC
rnacentral:rRNA from 1 species